rnacentral:rRNA from 1 species
GACGAACGCUGGCGGCGUGCUUAACACAUGCAAGUCGAGCGGAAAGGCCCCUUUGGGGGUACUCGAGCGGCGAACGGGUGAGUAACACGUGAGUAACCUGCCCCAGGCUUUGGGAUAACCCUCGGAAACGGGGGCUAAUACCGGAUGUGACUUCCUGCCGCAUGGCGGGGGGUGGAAAGUUUUUUCGGCUUGGGAUGGGCUCGCGGCCUAUCAGCUUGUUGGUGGGGUGAUGGCCUACCAAGGCGGUGACGGGUAGCCGGCCUGAGAGGGCGACCGGCCACACUGGGACUGAGACACGGCCCAGACUCCUACGGGAGGCAGCAGUGGGGAAUAUUGCACAAUGGGCGCAAGCCUGAUGCAGCGACGCCGCGUGAGGGAUGACGGCCUUCGGGUUGUAAACCUCUUUCGGCAGGGACGAAGCCUUCGGGUGACGGUACCUGUAGAAGAAGCGCCGGCCAACUACGUGCCAGCAGCCGCCGUAAAAC